rnacentral:rRNA from 1 species
CUUGGUGGUCAUAGCGAGGAAAAAAACGCUCCAUCCCAUCCCGAACUGGAAAGCGAAAGUCCUUAGCGGUGAUGAUACUAUGUCUCAAGACAUGGGAAAGUAACACACUGCCAGGC